UUAAAGACAUAACUUCAAUAAAUAGAUUGGUCCCGGGACCAGGUGGAAAGAACCUGAAAUGGGAUAGAACUGAUAGAAGAGUCUCCAGUUUCACCAUGCCCCAAGGAAUCUCCCUCUUCUUCUGGAAACUUCUGAAAAAAUUUACGUUGAGAUCUAUUCCUAUUCAAAUCCUGUAAAUAAAAUCCAUGAAUAUAAAUGAACCAGAAACAAAACCCAUACGCAUUUUAUGUCUAUUGGCUUUAAAUUUGAAAGAGAAAACCCCACCUGAGAGAAGAUUAUGUAUAAAAACAGAAGAACAAGAAAGAAACAGAAGCAUAAGAAGAACACAAUUGGUAAUCUUGUCUUGCGCUUCAUGCCCACAACUCUAUUCCCUUUAAAUUUCAUGAUUGAUUUUCAGGAAUUCAAAUGAACGUGAAUUACAGUUGAAUAAAUAUAGAGAAACCCAAAUCGUUUAUUUCGAAUUUGGGAAACUUGUAAUCUGAGACUGUGGGUUGGAGGGUGACAAAACCCGAUAACGGCGGGAGAAUUUUCUUCUGUUUGAAGUUAAAUCUCGACAAAG
rnacentral:lncRNA from 1 species